AGAGUUUGAUCAUGGCUCAGAUUGAACGCUGGCGGCAGGCCUAACACAUGCAAGUCGAGCGGAUGAAGGGAGCUUGCUCCUGGAUUUAGCGGCGGACGGGUGAGUAAUGCCUAGGAAUCUGCCUGGUAGUGGGGGAUAACGUUCCGAAAGGAACGCUAAUACCGCGUACGUCCUACGGGAGAAAGCAGGGGACCUUCGGGCCUUGCGCUAUCAGAUGAGCCUAGGUCGGAUUAGCUAGUUGGUGAGGUAAUGGCUCACCAAGGCGACGAUCCGUAACUGGUCUGAGAGGAUGAUCAGUCACACUGGAACUGAGACACGGUCCAGACUCCUACGGGAGGCAGCAGUGGGGAAUAUUGGACAAUGGGCGAAAGCCUGAUCCAGCCAUGCCGCGUGUGUGAAGAAGGUCUUCGGAUUGUAAAGCACUUUAAGUUGGGAGGAAGGGUUGUACGUUAAUAC
rnacentral:rRNA from 1 species